rnacentral:misc_RNA from 1 species
GAGCGCUCAACCACCUGAUCGCGGACAGCCUCGCCCACCCGGAGUUGAAGCGGGCUAAGGAGCAGACCGCCUCGGCGGAAGCGAAGAAGCGCGCCAUGAAGAGCCAGUACCUGCCGACCGUCUCGGCCAUCGCCAGCGGCGGCUACUAUGAUACGUUCGAUCCGAAUCGCAAUGUCACGACGGGCGGCUGGUGGGCGGCGGGCGGGUUGGUCUCGAUGCCGAUUUUCACGGGAGGCUUGCUCGAAAAUCAGGUGAAAGAGGCGGCGGCCCAGGAAGCCGCGGCCUUGGCGCAAAGCACCAACAUCGAGCAGGCGCUGACCCAGCAAGUAACGAACGCGUAUCUGGAUACGCUCACCUUUACGCA